CUAAUAUUAUAAAUGCGAAAGUGUCUGUCUGUCUUGUUUGCUUGCUCGUUUGUCCUUCAAUCAUGCCGUAACAGGGCAACGGAUUGCCGUGAUUUUU